UGGUUAAAAAGCUCGUAGUUGGAUCUCGGCGGUCUGAGGGCGGUUCGCUUGAUUGAGUGCUACUGCUCUAUAGGCCGUGGUUUUGCCAGAGGUCUCGGGGUGCUCUUAACCGAGUGUCCUGCGAUGCUGGCAGGUUUACUUUGAAAAAAUUAGAGUGCUCAAAGCAGGCUUUUACGCCUGAAUAUUCGUGCAUGGAAUAAUAGAAUAGGAAGUCGUUUCUAUUUUGUUGGUUUUCGGAAAUCGACUUAAUGAUUAAUAGGGACAGUCGGGGGCAUUUGUAUUCAAACGACAGAGGUGAAAUUCUUGGACCGUUUGAAGACAAACUACUGCGAAAGCAUUUGCCAAGAAUGUUUUCAUUAAUCAAGAACGAAAGUUAGAGGUUCGAAGGCGAUUAGAUACCGCCCUAGUUCUAACCAUAAACGAUGCCAGCUAGCGAUCUGCCGACGUUUUCUUUGUAGACUCGGCAGGAAGCUUCCGGGAAACCAAAGCAUUUGGGUUCCAGGGGAAGUAUGGUUGCAAAGCUGAAACUUAAAGGAAUUGACGGAAGGGCACCACCAGGAGUGGAGCCUGUGGCUUAAUUUGACUCAACACGGGAAAUCUCACCAGGCCCGGACACUGGAAGGAUUGACAGAUUGAUAGCUCUU
rnacentral:rRNA from 1 species